rnacentral:rRNA from 1 species
GACGAACGCUGGCGGCGUGCUUAGCACAUGCAAGUCGAACGGAAAGGCCCUGCUUUUGUGGGGUGCUCGAGUGGCGAACGGGUGAGUAACACGUGAGUAACCUGCCCUUGACUUUGGGAUAACUUCAGGAAACUGGGGCUAAUACCGGAUAGGAGCUCCUGCUGCAUGGUGGGGGUUGGAAAGUUUCGGCGGUUGGGGAUGGACUCGCGGCUUAUCAGCUUGUUGGUGGGGUAGUGGCUUACCAAGGCUUUGACGGGUAGCCGGCCUGGGAGGGUGACCGGCCACAUUGGGACUGAGAUACGGCCCAGACUCCUACGGGAGGCAGCAGUGGGGAAUAUUGCACAAUGGGCGGAAGCCUGAUGCAGCAACGCCGCGUGCGGGAUGACGGCCUUCGGGUUGUAAACCGCUUUCGCCUGUGACGAAGCGUGAGUGACGGUAAUGGGUAAAGAAGCACCGGCUAACUACGUG